rnacentral:tRNA from 1 species
GCGGGCGUAGCGCAGCUGGUAGCGUAGAAGCUUCCCAAGCUUUUGGUCGCGGGUUCGAAUCCCGUCGCCCGCUCCA